rnacentral:rRNA from 1 species
GACGAACGCUGGCGGCGUGCUUAACACAUGCAAGUCGAACGGAAAGGCCUCUUUCGGGGGGUACUCGAGUGGCGAACGGGUGAGUAACACGUGAGUAACCUGCCCUUGACUUUGGGAUAACUUCAGGAAACUGGGGCUAAUACCGGAUAGGAGCUCCUGCUGCAUGGUGGGGGUUGGAAAGUUUCGGCGGUUGGGGAUGGACUCGCGGCUUAUCAGCUUGUUGGUGGGGUAGUGGCUUACCAAGGCUUUGACGGGUAGCCGGCCUGAGAGGGUGACCGGCCACAUUGGGACUGAGAUACGGCCCAGACUCCUACGGGAGGCAGCAGUGGGGAAUAUUGCACAAUGGGUGGAAGCCUGAUGCAGCAACGCCGUGUGCGGGAUGACGGCCUUCGGGUUGUAAACCGCUUUCGCUCAUGACGAAGCUUUGUGUGACGGUAGUGGGUAAAGAAGCACCGGCUAACUCCGUG